UACGUAGGGGGCUAGCGUUGUCCGGAAAUCAUUGGGCGUAAAGCGCGCGUAGGCGGCCCGGUAAGUCCGUUGUGAAAGUCAAAGGCUCAACCUUUGAAUGCCGAUGGAUACUGCCGGGCUCGAGUCCGGAAGAGGCGAGUGGAAUUCCUGGUGUAGCGGUGGAAUGCGCAGAUAUCAGGAGGAACACCGAUAGCGAAGGCAGCUCGCUGGGACGGUACUGACGCUAAGGCGCGAAAGCGUGGGGAGCGAACAGG
rnacentral:rRNA from 1 species